ACGCACGCUGGCGGCGUGCUUCACCCAUGCCAGUCGAACGCUGAAGCACCAGCUUGCUGGUGUGGAUGAGUGGCGAACGGGUGAGUAAUACGUGAGUAACCUGCCCUUGACUCUGGGAUAAGCCCGGGAAACUGGGUCUAAUACUGGAUGCUACAUGUCACCGCAUGGUGGUGUGUGGAAAGGGUUUACUGGUCUUGGAUGGGCUCACGGCCUAUCAGCUUGUUGGUGAGGUAAUGGCUCACCAAGGCGACGACGGGUAGCCGGCCUGAGAGGGUGACCGGCCACACUGGGACUGAGACACGGCCCAGACUCCUACGGGAGGCAGCAGGGGGGAAUAUUGCACAAUGGGCGAAAGCCUGAUGCAGCGACGCCGCGUGAGGGAUGACGGCCUUCGGGUUGUAAACCUCUUUCAGCAGGGAAGAAGCCACAAGUGACAGUACCUGCAGAAGAAGCGCCGGCUAACUACGUG
rnacentral:rRNA from 1 species